GCUUAACACAUGCAAGUCGAGGGGCAGCAUGGUCUUAGCUUGCUAAGGCUGAUGGCGACCGGCGCACGGGUGAGUAACACGUAUCCAACCUGCCGUCUACUCUUGGCCAGCCUUCUGAAAGGAAGAUUAAUCCAGGAUGGGAUCAUGAGUUCACAUGUCCGCAUGAUUAAAGGUAUUUUCCGGUAGACGAUGGGGAUGCGUUCCAUUAGAUAGUAGGCGGGGUAACGGCCCACCUAGUCAACGAUGGAUAGGGGUUCUGAGAGGAAGGUCCCCCACAUUGGAACUGAGACACGGUCCAAACUCCUACGGGAGGCAGCAGUGAGGAAUAUUGGUCAAUGGGCGAUGGCCUGAACCAGCCAAGUAGCGUGAAGGAUGACGG
rnacentral:rRNA from 1 species